CCGUCUGUCUCUCCUUAAGGGGAUUUGCGUGUGCUUUUGUUGUGUGUUGUAAGAUCCUGUUAGCUUUGUACCUCAGACUGAGAGAGGAAGGAGCUGGUGAACUUUGGCAGGCUACCGCAGGACUCCACAGACUUCUCAAACUGACUUCUGAUGUGAUACUGACCAGGUCCAGGGACUCCCUGAAGUCACAAAGAAAGAAAGAAAUGCACAACUUUGCCUCACCCACUCUACCCCUUCGACUGGAGGAAUAAGGCAUCACAAAGCAUUACUCUGCCAGCACACUCAAGUUCAUAUGCAGCUCCUUUGUUCAGCACACAUCUAUAACAGCUAAGGAGCAGUGAACCCCGAAGAUAAGAUGUCCUGGAUCACCUAAUCUCACCAACCUUUUGUCUCUUUAUCAAAGCUUCAAAACGGGAAGUUAUGGAGGUUUUGAUUUCAGAUAAUUGCACUGCUGAUUGAAACUAUUGGCAGUGUCUAUCAUGAAGUUAAAUGCCAAUCAAUGUGA